GCGAAAUCACAAACUAAUUGGUUAGCCACCAGAUUGUUCUUGACCUACUGAACAACUUUGCCGAAGACAGCAUUGUUCCAAAUCAAGUAAAUCUUGAGAUAUCGCAAGCGAUAACUUAUGAGUACUUCUACUGGCGAGUGAACAUAAGCAACCACUUCUACAUAGCGCCUCUAUCGGCCAAAUUGUCAACUAAUUGGAUGUUAGUUCGCAUUGUGUGGUAGAUCUAUUCUAGUACUACAACUUUGCCAAAGAAAGUAUGGUGCUAUCUUGUAAUACUCCUGAUAUAUUCCCUCACACCCCCAAUUAGGCGAAAUCCCAUAAGCUCUGGGAUUCCUACAACACGGAUUCCUACUGCACCCCCGAACUAACCGUGUAGUAGGAGUCUAGACUGUAUUGCGUUCGUCACUGGAUUGCCCGUGGUCCACCCAACAAAUUUGUCGAAGGCACCACCUACUUAAAUUAUCACGUUAUUGAGAUACACACAUAUACGUUUGUACUUUUGCAUCCAGUUUGUAUGCACACUAGCGCCGCCUAUCGGUUGAAUUCCUACUUACUUGGUUCGUCACUGGAUAGCCCGUGGCCCAGCCAACAACUUUGUCGAAGACACCACACAGUUAAAUUAUCACGUUAUUGAGAUACACGCAUAUACGUUAAUACUAUUGCAUGUAGUUUUUAUGCACACUAGCGCCGCCCAGCGAUGGAUUUGCCAAUGAUUUAGUUCAUCACUGGACAGCUCUUGACCAUGCCAACAACUUUGCCGAAGAUACCAAGUUUUUAUAAAGCAAUAUCGCAAGAAUAUUUACAAUCCUAACUAUCUCAUUUUUAUCAGGUACUUGCGUCUCCAUCCAGCGACGGGUGGUAACGCCGCAGAUGGCUGUUACCACCCUCUUCAACACGCAAAACGUGCAGUGAUGCCAAUUAAAGAAGUUAGAAAUCUUGCGAAUAAAAUGUCCAUUGUUUCGAAAUUUAAUAACGCCCUUAUCUUAAGUGCAACUUAAAAGUUGUCUUCUAACAAAAUGUUCCCUAAUAUAUCCACUAAAUCUUCAGGGGGAGAGCGGAUUUUUAGAGUUGCUUUAAUGUGCCUUUUUCUUCAAAAGUUUGAAAAGUUGGAUUUCCCCAUACUGAAAAAUAAAAAUUCCCAUAUAAAACUUCAAGUCGAUUGCGGACUAGCUUACCGAUUUUUUAGAAUUUUUAAAUUUUGCAGGGCUUGGGUCCAUUUGCAACCAUUUGUGACUAUUCGGGAUUGUGUAUUCGCAAUUUUGCAAAAAUCGACACGGCCUAAUGGACAUUAUUGCCAGAACAUUUGGAACGGUGGCAGAGCUGUACACCCGCCUGAAACGCGAAGCAGCAAAGGUCGGACUCGUGGUGAAUGCCUCAAAAACAAAGUACCUGCUAGUAUGCGGAACCGAAUACGACCGGAUCCGUCUGGGGAGUAAUGUUACGCUAGAUGGGGAUACUUUCGAGGUGGUGGAGGAAUUCGUCUACCUCGGAUCCUUACUGACGGCUGACAACAACGUGAGCCGUGAAAUUCGGAGGCGCAUCAUCAGCGGAAGUCGGGCCUACUACGGGAUCCAGAAGAAACUGCGGUCGAAAAAGAUUCACCCACGCACUAAAUGCACACACUUAAAACCAAUUCUCGAGCUCGGCAAUAAAAAGUGCCGAUACUGAACGGCAAAUUAUGAAAUUGCUGAUUGUUCAGCAAUUUGAAGUCUUAAUUCUGAGAUUCGGUAAAAGAUUUUGCUGAGAAUACGUAAAAACACGACAGCAUGCUGAAACUCGGAAAAGAAAAUUACUGAACUAUUCGGCAUUCAUUGAUUUUACCAAAAUCAGCAAAUGCUUUUGACGAGAUUUCGGUAAAGCAUUAUAUGCUUUGCUGAAAAUCAGUAAAGCAGCUGUCACUUCCAGUCGUCAUUGCUCCAUUCAUCAGCACCAUCUUGUUUACAAGUCUUUGCAGAUAAAGCUGAAAUCUCACUAGAGGAGUUUAAAUUUGUAUUUUGGACAGUAGUAAGUGAAUUUUGGAUGUCUAAUUAUACCGCGGAAGCUUUAAGGAUAGAUGCAGGAGGCGCCACGCGAACACCAUAGCAACGAGCUACAUAAGCAUGAUACACAACACUGCGUGACGUUUUUCAAGUGCCAAAAUUAUUAUUAUAUAAUGCCAAAAUUAAAUAAAUUAUCGAGAAAUUGAUGUUGAAUUUA